rnacentral:rRNA from 1 species
GCGUAGUCGAUGGGAAACAGGUUAAUAUUCCUGUACUUGGUGUUACUGCGAAGGGGGGACGGAGAAGGCUAUGUUGGCCGGGCGACGGUUGUCCCGGUUUAAGCGUGUAGGCUGGUUUUCCAGGCAAAUCCGGAAAAUCAAGGCUGAGGCGUGAUGACGAGGCACUACGGUGCUGAAGCAACAAAUGCCCUGCUUCCAGGAAAAGCCUCUAAGCAUCAGGUAACAUCAAAUCGUACCCCAAACCGACACAGGUGGUCAGGUAGAGAAUACCAAGGCGCUUGAGAGAACUCGGGUGAAGGAACUAGGCAAAAUGGUGCCGUAACUUCGGGAGAAGGCACGCUGAUAUGUAGGUGAGGUCCCUCGCGGAUGGAGCUGAAAUCAGUCGAAGAUACCAGCUGGCUGCAACUGUUUAUUAAAAACACAGCACUGUGCAAACACGAAAGUGGACGUAUACGGUGUGACGCCUGCCCGGUGCCGGAAGGUUAAUUGAUGGGGUUAGCGCAAGCGAAGCUCUUGAUCGAAGCCCCGGUAAACGGCGGCCGUAACUAUAACGGUCCUAAGGUAGCGAAAUUCCUUGUCGGGUAAGUUCCGACCUGCACGAAUGGCGUAAUGAUGGCCAGGCUGUCUCCACCCGAGACUCAGUGAAAUUGAACUCGCUGUGAAGAUGCAGUGUACCCGCGGCAAGACGGAAAGACCCCGUGAACCUUUACUAUAGCUUGACACUGAACAUUGAGCCUUGAUGUGUAGGAUAGGUGGGAGGCUUAGAAGUGUGGACGCCAGUCUGCAUGGAGCCGACCUUGAAAUACCACCCUUUAAUGUUUGAUGUUCUAACGUUGACCCGUAAUCCGGGUUGCGGACAGUGUCUGGUGGGUAGUUUGACUGGGGCGGUCUCCUCCUAAAGAGUAACGGAGGAGCACGAAGGUUGGCUAAUCCUGGUCGGACAUCAGGAGGUUAGUGCAAUGGCAUAAGCCAGCUUGACUGCGAGCGUGACGGCGCGAGCAGGUGCGAAAGCAGGUCAUAGUGAUCCGGUGGUUCUGAAUGGAAGGGCCAUCGCUCAACGGAUAAAAGGUACUCCGGGGAUAACAGGCUGAUACCGCCCAAGAGUUCAUAUCGACGGCGGUGUUUGGCACCUCGAUGUCGGCUCAUCACAUCCUGGGGCUGAAGUAGGUCCCAAGGGUAUGGCUGUUCGCCAUUUAAAGUGGUACGCGAGCUGGGUUUAGAACGUCGUGAGACAGUUCGGUCCCUAUCUGCCGUGGGCGCUGGAGAACUGAGGGGGGCUGCUCCUAGUACGAGAGGACCGGAGUGGACGCAUCACUGGUGUUCGGGUUGUCAUGCCAAUGGCACUGCCCGGUAGCUAAAUGCGGAAGAGAUAAGUGCUGAAAGCAUCUAAGCACGAAACUUGCC